AAUUUUUCUAUUUUUUAAAAAAAUUAAUAUAAAAUCUAAAAAUAUAAAUAAUUAUAUUUAAAUAUAUAUUUUGAUUAGAUAUUUAAAAUUUAUAAAAAUUAUUAUAAAACAAUAAAUAUUUUAAAAAUUUAAAAAAUAAAUUUGUAUUAUUUUUUUGAAAUGAAUUUUUGGUCCAAUGAACUAAAAACUGUUUGGUCUAUUGGACCAACAUCACUCUUCCCAAAGUAGCAAACCUUGGGCGGAGAGCUCCUGGGGAGGAGAGCCAACUAGGAGCUCAGACCCUUGGGGUCCGGGCCGUGCUAGCCUGGUUGGCAUGGCCCAAGCAGGCCGUGCCAUGUCGGGCCACUCAUUUCUCCUCGGCCUAGGCUCGCUUUAGACAAUGCUAUGCUGGAUUGUCAAGCCGCAAGAGGUAGGCCGGCAUGUGGCCGUGCCGUGCUGUGCUGUGCUUAGCCCGGCAUGUGGUCGUGCCGCUAAAGUUGCAAUUAUACCAUUUAUCAAAUAUAAAAAAGAUAGAAUAUCUAAGAGAUUAUUUGGUUUCACGCAGCAAUAACUUGUGUAACUGUAUUUUCAUAUCCAAUUAUCUAUGGAGAUAAUUUUAUUGUUUAAAUUGAUGCAAUAGAAUCCAAAUAAACUACAAGAAAUGAUUCACUACUUUAUUUUAUAAAAAAUAAAAAAGAUCUUAACCGUUGAUUAAUAAAGGUUAAAAAUGUCAUUUAAUUAUGUAGCAGGUUAAAAAGUUAUUUCAUUAGAGGAUAUUUUUCUAAUGUAAAAAAAAUUAAGAAAGUUUUGAUUAAUAUCCUAAAUUUAGCAUUAAUUUUAUACUAAUUUAAGCAUUAAUUUAAGAUUUGAUUGAUAUCUCAAAUUUUAGGCAUUAAUUUUAGAAAUUUUAGAAUUCUUCUAAUUUAGGCAUUAAUUUAAAUUUUAUAAAAUUUAGAAAUAUAAAUAUUUCUAAAUAUGUUGAAUUUAAAUAUUUAAUAUUUAAAUUAAAGAAAUUUUGUGUUACUAUUUUAACAAAUUUAUUGUUAAUAAUAACGAAUUCAACAUAUUUAAUUUGUUUAAGAAAACUUUUAAAUUCCUCUAGUUUAGAUAUUAUUUUUUUUAUCACAAACUUUUUUAAACAAUUGAAUGUAGGUAAAUAAAAAAUUAAAUUCAAUGUAUUUAUAUGUUAUAAUGUAUUUUAAUGAAAUAUCUAUGGAUUACGAAUAUAAAAUGAUAAAAUAUCUGUGAAUUAUAUAUGUCAAUGGAUAUGGAUACUCAUAAUUUUAUCUGAAUUCGAAUAUAAACUCAAAAGCAAAAGCAGUGAAUUUAUCUAUGCUAAAUGGAUAUAGUUUUAAAUAUGGAUAUCAAAAACGAAACCCGACGAAUUUGAAUUCGGGUAUGGAUUUUAAUUGUAUUUGACCCGAAGCCGAAACCGACCGGAACCCAAAUUUAUUACGUUAUAUAUAAUAUAUAUAAAUGUUCGAUGUUAUAUUUGAGUAUAUAUUUUAAAAUUUAGAUUUAAUUUAAUAUAUUUUAAAAUAUUGUAAAGAGAAAUAAAUAUUUCAGGUUCGGAUUUUCGGGUUCGGGCUAGUGUUUGGGUUUUGAAUUUUUAGUGAGAUACGGGUGUGUAUAUAAUUUUCUAAAAAGUCAUCGAAUUUGGGUUUGGGUUCGAGUUUUGGGUUUGAUAGUCAAGUUCGGGUUCAUGUUUUUGAAAAUCCGCCUCGAAUCCUACCCUUUUACAUCUCUGCAGUGGAUGAAAAAAAAAAAGAUAGAGAGAGAAAAAGCAAACACAAAGAGAAUAGAGAUUCGAUAAUAUAAUGAAAAUAAAAUUAUUAAAUUGCCCAUUUUCAAAGGACUAAAAUGCCUUUUUUGGAGUACCUGGAAACCGGUGUCCCUCUCAAAGUGACCUGCUAUUGCAGGUUACAAUUUUUUAAAAAUUAAAUCUGAGCUGUUGAAUUGAAUUGAAAUGAAUGAGCUGUAUAAAAAAAAAUAAGUAUAGAAUCACUACUCAUAAACUACAGUUUGAAACUACCAAAGAAAAUUCAAUUAUUACAAUAGAAAAAAUCUUACCUAAAUUAACCACUAUUUUAGCUACAAUAGUUGUAAAGAAUAAUCUUAAAUAAAAGACAAACUAAUCUAUCUAAUCAUUUAACCUUUUCUUCAACAAUGAAUAUAAUCUCAUAGCUCCAUGCAUGUAUAACCGUAUACAAUUUGUUAAUACAAUUUUUAGUUAUGCGCAACCUUUUGAUUUUGGAGAAUAAAAAUAUAACAGCUCCAAUUAUUAUUUGUAUUAAAAUUGGUCGAAUAUAGUAAAAAAUGCUAUAAAUAUAUUAUAUAAAUGGUUGCGCAUAACUAAAAAUUGUAUUAACAAAUUGUAUACGGUUAUACAUGCAUGGAGCUAUGAGAUUAUAUUCNUAAAUUAACCACUAUUUUAGCUACAAUAGUUGUAAAGAAUAAUCUUAAAUAAAAGACAAACUAAUCUAUCUAAUCAUUUAACCUUUUCUUCAACAAUGAAUAUAAUCUCAUAGCUCCAUGCAUGUAUAACCGUAUACAAUUUGUUAAUACAAUUUUUAGUUAUGCGCAACCAUUUAUAUAAUAUAUUUAUAGCAUUUUUUACUAUAUUCGACCAAUUUUAAUACAAAUAAUAAUUGGAGCUGUUAUAUUUUUAUUCUCCAAAAUCAAAAGGUUGCUGAGAACAAUAAUCUUCGGCCUCGUUUGAUAUUUUUACUGCUCUCAAACUUUUUUCGGUUUCAAAUGCAAAUUAUAAUUUAUGUAUGAUUGGAUGAUGCUGGGAGGGACUUAAUUAUGUUUGUAGUUGCUAUUAGCUUGUAAGGCAUCUUGAAAACAUCUUCUCAAGAAUGGAUUUAAUUAUGUUUGCACUUGCUACUUAGCUUGUAACUCAUAUUGAAAACAUCUUUUCAAGAAAUACAAAGAAGUGGGAAAAUUUUACUUUUUUUUUUUUUUUUUAAUUACUUUGGUCGGAGAAAUCCUUGGACGGUUAAGUGCAAACAAUUAAUGUGAGUCCAUCAGAUUAUGUUUAAGAAAUAGAAGAUAAUAAUAAUAAUAACAAUCAAUGUGAGUCCAUCAGAUUUUUUUUUUUUUUUUUCAGGUCCAUUCCAGCGGAAGCCUAGUUGCUUUCACAAUUGCUAAGUUCAAACUCUUUAUAAAAAAAAAAAAAAAAAAAAAACAAUACAAAAUGUGGUCCUAAUUUAAUAUUCUCGUGUCCACGCCUAUCACUGUUCUGAGAUAUAAACGACAAUUUGAUAUGGACAGAGGAGAAAGAGUCAAAACAAAAAAUAUAUAGAAAAAAGAUCAUUAUGUUUCGAGCCAAUUAAAUAUUUUUUUUUAAAAGAAAAGUGCAAUACAAAAAAAAUGGUUGGGAAGUGUGGUAACCUAUUAUAUAGCAAACUAGCAAUUGUACUUUAUCACCUAUAUUUCAAGCCAAACAAAAUUGUCAUUUAAAAAGAAAAGUAUAACAAAAUUAGAUUAAAUUGACUUGGGUCAUGACGUUGAAGUGCUAUUGUCGCAUCCUAGACUUGUGUGUCCCUAAAAUACUGUUUGGUUCGGAUAUAAGUAAGAAUUAGCUAUUACAGAAAUAGAUAUAAGUAUGAGAAUAAAAAAAAUAGUGCUUGGAUGAAAAUUGGGUUGUUCCCGAAGAUAAGAAUAAUUUAAGAUAAUUUUAUAUAGAAAAUGGAGGUAUUGAUGGGGAUAAUCGAGAACUACUAUUCUCGGAUAAAAAAUAAGCAUUUCGGUAUAAAGGGGAGGAUAAGGAUCUAUUCCUAUUCCUAUUUCCUAACCAAACGUUGCCGCACCAAAAAGAUGAGUGGGAACAAAUUGUUCCCGCCCAUGUGGCCAUGUAUACCGGAUAUGGGUGGACCAUGUGUGGCUCCCACAACCCCGGAGAGAGAGAGAGAGAUUCAUAUUUUAAAUUUAAAUUGAAAUUUAACUUUUUAAAAUUUAAAAUUUAAAAUUUUAAAUUUAUAAUUUAAAAUAAAAUUUUAAAAUUUAAAUUUAAAAUUUCUAAUUUGAUAUUUUCAGUUUUUAAAUUUUAAAAUUGAUAUUUUAUAUCUUUCAAAUUUAAAUUUAAUAUUAAAUUUAAAAUAUGAUAUUUAAACUUAAAAUUUUGAAAAUUAAAAUUUUAAAUUUUAAAAUUUAAAAGUUAAAAUUUUCAAUUUAAAAUUUAAAAAUUUAAAUUCAAUUAUAAGAAUAAUAUUAUUAUUUUUUAUUUAUAACCAUCAACUAUUUCUCUUCUUUUCAAUAACCAUCCAAACAUAAUUUUUCUAGUUCCAAUCUAUACUCAUAUUUUCAUUCAAAUUAAAAAAAUACUCUUGUUCUUACAAAAAUUUAUAUUUGUACUUAUUCCCGAUAUAACUAGUUUCUAUUAAUUCCCGAACCAAACCAAACGAAGCCUUUUAAAAUGUCUGGAUGCAUGACUAUAUAUGUAGUGCACAUUUUUUCUUGCACACGCAGACACGGACUGAGAACCUUAUCAAAAUCACAGCGGAUUAUAGGAUUAGCAUUGCCUCCUGAGCAUUUACGUGUCUAGUUGGAAUUCAGUGAUAAUAACAGCAAAAUUGCUAUUUACGUUAGACUAGAUGACACCUCAUGCACAGCACUAGUACGAAAGUCCAAUUUUGAGAUAUUAAGAUUUCAUCUUGUACCGACCAUUCCUACAGCAAGUGAUAAAAGAUUUGAUGAUUGAUACUCGAGAUCCCAAGUUUGAAUUCUACUUGAUUUACAUUUUUAACUAAAUUUAUUUCUAAAUAAAAUAAAUAAAACGGAUAGCGUGCUAUUUAUCUCUCAAAAAAUAAAAAAAAAAGAUUUCAUCCUGUGCACGAAUUUCAACUCACCUCCUCAUUUUUCAAUUCCCCAGGAUAGCAAUAUUCUUCUAUAUAUUCAGCAAGUGAGAGUAACUUCAUAAGAAAAGGCAGAUACGUAGAUGGAAAUCCCAUGUCGAUUAAACAAAAACACACAAAAUUUCAGCCUUCUGAUAUGGUCACCAUUUUUUCUUAAUGUUAAUUCUAUAUAAUUUAAUAUACUGACAGAAUGACUAAUUAUUUUGUAAUAAUUUUUGGCCCGUAAUCAAUGAAAACUCAUUUUUACAAAAUUUGAAAAUAGGAAAAAAUGCUUCUAUUUUUUUAUUUUGGGUUACCAAACAAAUAUAUAAAUUGGAUGUAAAAAUUAUAAGCAAUUUAUUAUUUUCUCUCACACUAAUUUAUGUAGAAAAUUUAAUUUUUUUAAAAUACAACUACCAUGUAUAAAUCAAAUCAUAGAGCUUUUAUGAUAGACAUAAAGUAAUGGUGUGCAACAUCAAAAUUAAGAAACUCCCGGUCCACCGUGGUAUGUAAAUUUUAACGUUUAUCCAAAAAUUCUAAUCUUUCAUUCUAGAAUUUAAUUUUUUUAAAAAAUUUAAUAUAUAAAAAUUUUUAAUAAAGUCAUGAAUAAAAGUAAAAUCAAUAUGUGACGGCGGACUGAAAGCCAUUCAACAAUACGACUUUGUUCGAGAGCCACCCACUUAAACUUUGUUCGGCUCCCCCGACUGGAUUCUCCAUAAAUGAGAUUUUUGUGUACUUAGGUGUCAUGCAUGCAUGAGAUUUUUAUGUACUUAUUAGGUGUCCGCCACAACAUUUCUUCAAAUUGCAUCUGCCAAGAUACUUUGGCCUGCUAAUGAUCUAAUCUACGUCUUAUUCAACAUUAUUGAUGUGUGUCAUACUCGCCGGUUAAAGACAACUCUUAUAUCAUUUCCACCUUAAAUAACAUAAAAUAAGAGAAAUACUACAUGCACCUGAAAAUACAUUUAAAAACAUUAUUAAAUAAUGAAAUUUGCAUAUUUGGUAAUCAUGUACUUUUAUUUCAAAAAACUGAAUAUAAAUUAGGCACAUCAUCAAUUUUAAAACCUAAACCAUUCACCAACUCUGAUAUAUAUACAAAUCUUAUUUACAAAAAAACAUAAAUAUGUCCAUACAAGGAGGCGAUGGUCUUAUUUGGAACUGCAGAGUACUGCUGCGUUGUUUUAUAAUUGUGGUUUCAAUUGCGCCAGCAAUGGUAGCAUACAUUAAAAUCUACCUAAAAGCUUCUUUUUUAGGAGAAUUAGAAGUUUCAAAUCAAAAGUUUUCCUAAAAAUCUGAUUUCAACUGUGCUGCAGCAGUUUAUUGGUAACGUUUUGGCAGAGGCUAAAAUAUGACAUGGAUCAUAUUACAUACCAGCGAUGCUACAUUUAAGACCAUUUUUUAUUGUAAUCAUACAACAUGCCAAUCUAAAGACUAAAAUUGUCACACGUUAUUUCACACUCUUUUUUUAAUACUAUAUAUUUUAGAGAAAGAUAGAAUGCUAACAGGUUCGUAUAUUUUUUUUACAAAUAAAUUUAACUGAAAAUAUAAAUUAAUCAACUAGGAUUUAAACUUGAAGCCUCGGUGUCAAUCACUAAGUCUUUUGCCCUUUGCGCUUGGGACGGUCGACAUCCAGAAAAUAAUUAUUUAAUCUUUAGAAAAAUUUUAAUUCUCAGAUGAAAAUCGUAAUUCUUACGAGUUACGACUCUUUUUGGAUUGCAAACUUGGCAAUAUUUCUCAUUAUAUAUGCAUAGCAUGCAUGAACUCCUUAUAAUUCAUACCAAAAGCAUCACAAAGUUUCUAUGGCUCUUCUUCACAUGAUUGCCUCCCUGCCUUUUGUUGUUCUCCUACUACUCCCUCUUCUACUCCUCACAAGAAGAAAGGAGGGCAGCACAUCACUAAAACUUCCCCCGGCCCCUCCCAAGCUCCCAGUAAUUGGCAACCUCCACCAGCUUGGAAGACUGCCCCAUCACUCCCUCUCUCGGCUCUCGCAACGAUACGGCCCCCUCAUGUACCUGAAACUCGGCCAUGAGCCGACCAUCGUGGUCUCCUCUGCCAACAUGGCCCAGGAGAUCCUAAAGACGCAUGAUCUAGAAUGCUGCAGCCGACCGCCCCGCACCUCACAUACAAAGCUCUCCUAUGGUUGCUCGGACAUCGCCUUCGCGGUGUACGGCGGGCCAUGGAGGGAGCUGCGAAGAAUUUCCAUUAUCGAGCUUUUCAGCGCCAAGAAGAUCGCCUCGUUUCGAUCCAUUAGAGAAGAAGAGGUGGAGAGAACUAUGAGCUCGAUAUCCUCUUAUUCAAGCAGUUCUCUCCCUGUCGAUUUGAGCAAAGAACUGAUCGCGCUCACGAGCACAAUCACUUGUAGAAUGGCUUUUGGAAGGAGCUACCAUGAUGUUGGAAGCAGAUUUCAGAUGAUUCUGAAUGAAGCACAGGCCAUGCUCGGGGGCUUUUUCAUCUCGGACUACUUGCCUAUCAUCGGAUGGGCCGAUUGGCUCACAGGGAUGAGAGCGAGGCUCGAGAAGAACUUUAUCGAUCUUGAUCGCUUCUACCAACAAGUCCUCGAUGAGCAUCUCGAUAGAGUGCAGCAGCAGCACCAGCAGGACUCUGGCGAAGACGUUGUGGAUAUUCUACUGCACAUGCAGAAGGACGAGAAAAGUCUAACCACGGACCAGAUCAAAGGAGUCCUUAUGGUAAGAAAUAUCCAAUACCGAAUCGCAAAAAACAUUCUUCUAUAUUAUUCUACACAAGUUUACCCUUUUUUGCAGAAUGUUUUCAUUGGUGGGAGCGACACGUCCUCAGCCACCGCGGGAUGGGCGAUGACGGAGCUAAUGAGGCAUCCACAAGCGAUGGAAAAAGCUCAAGAAGAAGUAAGAAGCCUCGUCGGGAGCAAAGGAAAGGUAGAGGAGAGCGACAUCGACCAACUACACUACCUCAAGUGCGUUGUGAAGGAGACCAUGCGAUUGCACCCAGUGGUUCCCAUGCUUAUUCCAAGAACAACGUUGCAGCAUUUCAAAAUCAACGGCUAUGAUGUCCCGCCCAACACAACGAUACUCAUCAAUGCUUGGGCGAUUGGAAGGGACGGGAGUUACUGGGAAUCGCCGGAGGUGUUCAAGCCGGAGAGGUUCAUGAAUAGCACGGAUCUCGAGUUCGCAGGGAAGGACUUCAAUAUGAUACCAUUCGGUGAAGGUCGCAGGAUCUGUCCGGGGAAGAACCUCGGGAUAAAAACGGUCGAGAUCAUGCUCGCCAACCUUCUUUACUCCUUCGACUGGGAACUUCCGACGGGUACGACGAAGGAGGACAUCGACAUGGAUGAGACACCGGGCGUUACCGUGCACAAAAGACAUGCCCUUCGGCUUCUUGCCACUAAAUAUAGCAGCGUCUACAGCUAAUUUUACAGAACGCGUCUUAGCUAGUGAGAUGCGCUCCUAUCUACCUACUCUGUUCGAUCUAUCUAUCAUUCUCUCGAUGUAUCUGCCUAUAUCAGUUAUCUAUCUCACUGGCUAUCUUAAUUAUGACUAUAAUAUGCCAAUCAUUUGUAUAUACAAGCUCCAUCUCACUACUACUCCAACGUACAAAAAUUAAUCUAUCAAGAAUUAAGAACACUCAGUAUAAGUUAGAUUCGCACAUUUUACUUAAUUAUUUUAAGACAAUUUGUUGCGGAAAAAUAUCUGUAAACCGACCUGGCCUGACCCACGCACCUUCUAGAGCAAAUUUUUUUUAUCCAGAAAGUAUUUAGCUGUUGAUACUUCCUGUUAAAUAUUACUACAUUAAUCAAAUGAAAUUCAUUCAAUUAAAUAUGAUAUAAACUGCUUGGGAUAUUAGAAACGUAAGGCCAUUGUUUUUAGGCAUGCAUUCAUCUAGGAUAUGGUGGUUUACUAUCUCAAAUAAAAAGGACCAGUUCAAUGAUCCUCUUUAAGUACCACUAAGAGUGUUUUUAAUUUCACGUAAAUGUUACUAAAAAAAUUUUCAGACCUGAAAAUAGUUUUUCUAGUAUUUGAUUUGGCGUAAAUUAAUUUUUUACAAAAGAAAUUACUUUACAGAUUUGAGGAUAAAAAAAAAGAGCUUUUCAUUUUCCAUCUUUAUCUCGGCGAGUAGUUCACGGGUUUAUGGCAUUGUGCAUGGUCCUGGAGCUUAUGUGAUGCGUGGCCCACGCUGGACCACUCACACAUCCUCUCUUGUAUAUAUAUAUUAGAGUUAAUAUGGUACAUAUUCUUACAAAUAUAAUGAAUAUAAAUAUAUUCUUACAAAAUAUAUAUAUUCUUAUAAAAAUCAUAAUAUUUUUAAAUAUGUCCCUCAAAUUUGUUAUUGUUAGAGAAUUAUUUAUUUUUUCAAUUUUACCAUCACAAAUAUAUCCUUACCAUCACAAAUAUAUCCUUCGAAAAAACAUAACAGUAUAAUAUAAGAUGAAUAAAAAUAUUAAAAACUAAUGAGGGUUAAAUAUUUAAUCUAUUGUUAACUAAAUUUCUCUAACGAAUUUUAAUGACGGGGACAUAUUUGAAAAUAUCAGGACUUUUGUAGGGACAACAUAUGAAAAUUAAACUUUAUAGAAAUAUAUAUUUGACAAUUAUUAUAUUUGUAGAAAUUUGUAUAAAAUUAACCCUAUAUAUUAUAUAUA
rnacentral:lncRNA from 1 species